AGCCUGAUUCCCGCGCUUUCUUCGCGGGCGGGAAGGGCGGCGGUUGCUGACGGGGCCGCCUGGACGACGGUUGACGGAGAUUGGGCCUGGGAAGCUGUGAAUCCAGAGUUGGCUCCUGUAAUGAAAACAGUGGACACCGGGCAAAUACCACAUUCAGUUUCUCGUCCUCUGAGAAGUCAAGAUUCUGUCUUUAACUCUAUUCAAUCAAAUACUGGAAGAAGCCAGGGUGGUUGGAGCUACAGAGAUGGUAACAAAAAUACCAGCUUGAAAACUUGGAAUAAAAAUGAUUUUAAGCCUCAAUGUAAACGAACAAACUUAGUGGCAAAUGAUGGAAAAAAUUCUUGUCCAGUGAGUUCGGGAGCUCAACAACAAAAACAAUUAAGAAUACCUGAACCUCCUAACUUAUCUCGCAACAAAGAAACCGAGCUACUCAGACAAACACAUUCAUCAAAAAUAUCUGGCUGCACAAUGAGAGGGCUAGACAAAAACAGUGCACUACAGACACUUAAGCCCAAUUUUCAACAAAAUCAAUAUAAGAAACAAAUGUUGGAUGAUAUUCCAGAAGA
rnacentral:lncRNA from 1 species